rnacentral:lncRNA from 1 species
UAAUAUUGCGAGUCUGUUUUCUUUUAAAAAAAGUUACUUAGUCUUCAGAAAUGGGGACUGGGUAAACAGCAGGAAGAAAAGAUGAUUAUCAGCAGGACAAGAAAUAUUGUGCCAAAUGCACUUUCAAAGAUGCAGUGGGGAGGCAAUUCUUUUAUCACCAUUCAAAUGUUUCUUAAUUUGAGUUUUUGUAUGCUAAUGGAUAUAAAUCCUACUCAGUAUUCCUUACUGAACCUCUACCAUGCAAAAUCUACAGUUGGAGAACACAGUUGGAUUUCUAUUCUUGAAAGAGCUUUAUUUUGGAGAGGAGACCUAUUUCUAAAGGAAAAUUGAACAGAAGCUUGAUGACUUCCCAAGAACAAUUUGGUAGAAAAGAGUGCUGAUGAAGAAGAGAGGACAACACAAAAGAAGACACAGAAGCACCAUGGGCAAACCAUGGAACAAGAACUGGAAUGAAUAUCUAUUCCACUACCUGAACUAAAGACUGCAGACGGAGAAAGGGAAGACAGGGGUUUAACUGGCAAUUCAAAGUGAGGUGAUCAGCCUUCUGUUACAGAGUUAACUGUGUGUGAAAGAAUGUAAGAUUCAUGUAUACAUCUGACAGUGACAGCUGUAUGGCCACAGCUUCAUGCUAUCAAGGCCCUUCAGUACAAGAUUGAAGUGAAGUGAUGAUAUUUGACAUCCUUGACUUCAAAGGAAAGCUUUGAAAAUCUCACCAUUAGAUAAGAUGCUUGCAGUGGAUUUUUUUUUAAAUUUGUAAUUAGCCUUUAUCAGAUUGAGGAAGCUCCAUUCUAGUUCUAGUUUUCCAUGAGUUUUUAUUUUUAACUUUUAUCAGGAAUGGAUUUUAAAACUCAUCAAAUGCUUUUUAUGUAUCAAUGAGUUGAAACCUAUUUUUUUAUUUUAUUCUUAAUAUGACCAAUUACAUUGCCUUUCUAAUGUUAAGCUAACCUGAAUUUCUAGUAUAAACCAACUUGCUUAUGAUGAAGUCUUUUUACCAACUGCUGGGUUUACAUUUUUAAGAAUUUUGGGGUCUAUGUUCAUAAUGAGAUUGGACUGUAUGUUUCCCUUGUCAUACUCUCUUGAUUGGUUUUUGGUAUCAAGAAAAUCCAGUCUGAUACCAUGUAUUAGAGUUUAUCUUAUUUUGUCGUUCUCUGGAAAUAUGUAGGAUUGAUAUUAAUUUUUCAUUGUGCCUGUUAGUAAAGAUGUUUGAACCUAAACAUUAUUUUGGAGGAAGUUUUAUAUUGCUGUUUCAGUUUCUUUAUGUUUAUCUCAGUUUUUUAUUAUAUCUUUUGUCAAAUUUAUAAGUGGUCGUUUUCUAGAAAUUUUCUGGACAGUUUCUUCUGAAUUUCUCAAUUUAUUGGAAUAAAGUUAUUACAUACAGUUAUUAUCUUUGUAAUAUCUAUAGAAUCUCCUGUUUUAUUCCUGAUGUAAGUUAAUUUUCUCUUCUUAAUUAUUCUCUUGAAAAAAAAAUAUAUGUGUGUGUGUGUAUAUAUAUAUAUAAAUGUUACUAGCCUCCCAGUUUUGGCUUUGUCUUCUCUAUUAUAUUUAAUUAUUAGUUUCAUCCUCAUUCAUCAAUGCUCUUUCUUUAAUGGUUUCUUCUUUUUACUUUCUUUUUUGCUGUUCUUUUGUAAUUUCUCAAGACAGAUGCUUAAAGCAUUACUUUUAAGCCAUCUUUUCUUUUGAAUGUGUGCUUCUAAGGCUAUACAUUUUACAUGCUGUACUUUUCAAAUUUUAAUAUGUAGUAUUUUCAUUAUCAUUCAGUUUAGUAUACUUUCUUUUUUCUCCCAUGAUUUCCUUUCGAUGUGUUUUUAUAAUGUCCAAACAUAUAGUAAUUUUCUAGGUAUAUUUUGAUUGUUAAUAGUUGUUAAAAACAUAUACCUUUUUAAUUAAUUUAUUUGUACUUGUUUUAUGGCAUAGGAUACUGUCCAAUUUUUAUAUUUUUGCAUUUGGGGGCUAUAAUAUUUAUUAAAUCUUUCUUUCUCUGUAUCCUUCUUGAAUUUAUAUAUGCAAACUGCCACUGACUGUGCAUUUGGGUUCUUCUUAUAAUUUUAUUAUUUUAUAAAAUUAUGCAUUUUGAGGUCAUGUAAUUGAGUGGAUGUGUAUUUUAAACUGUUUAAACUUUCUUGGUGAUUCUUUUAUCAUUAUUUAUUUAUAUUUAAUGUGGUAACUGAUAUUUUUGUCAUAUUCACUAUCUUUAUAAAUUCUUAAACAUAUUGUUUUAUACAGUUAAUACUUACUUAGAGCUGCCUACAAAUUUACCACUUUAUUUUUUCUUCAUUUCUUUUUUCAUCUCAACCUUCUUUUGUAGCAGCAAUUUCAUUUGGCAUGAAGAAAAUACCUUAUUUACCUUUAGGGAGAAAUGUAAUAAUCUAGUCUUGCAUAGAUAAAUCUGGAGAAUAGCUGAAACCUGGGAGGUGGAGCUUGCAGUGAGCCGAGAUUGUGCCAUUGCACUCCAGCCUGGGUGAC